rnacentral:rRNA from 1 species
AACGAACGCUGGCGGCAGGCCUAACACAUGCAAGUCGAACGAACCCUUCGGGGUUAGUGGCGGACGGGUGAGUAACACGUGGGAACGUGCCUUUAGGUUCGGAAUAACUCAGGGAAACUUGUGCUAAUACCGAAUGUGCCCUUCGGGGGAAAGAUUUAUCGCCUUUAGAGCGGCCCGCGUCUGAUUAGCUAGUUGGUGAGGUAAAGGCUCACCAAGGCUACGAUAAGUAGCUGGUCUGAGAGGAUGACCAGCCACAUUGGGACUGAGACACGGCCCAAACUCCUCCGGGAGGCAGCAGUGGGGAAUCUUGCGCAAUGGGCGAAAGCCUGACGCAGCCAUGCCGCGUGGAUGAUGAAGGUCUUAGGAUUGUAAAAUCCUUUCACCGGUGAAGAUAAUGACUGUAGCCGGAGAAGAAGCCCCGGCUAACUUCGUGCCAGCCGCCGCGGUAAGAC